rnacentral:rRNA from 1 species
CAAUAGCGUAUAUUAAAGUUGUUGCAGUUAAAAAGCUCGUAGUUGGAUUUGUGGUGUACUUCGGCGGCCCGUCACUAUGUGAUGGAGCUUGCUGAAGUCGCCAUCCUUGGGUGGAUCCUGUGUGGCAUUAAGUUGUCGUGCAGGGGAUGCCCAUCGUUUACUGUGAAAAAAUUAGAGUGUUCAAAGCAGGCUUAUGCCGUUGAAUAUAUUAGCAUGGAAUAAUAAGAUAGGACCUUGGUACUAUUUUGUUGGUUUGCGCACCAGGGUAAUGAUUAAUAGGGACAGUUGGGGGUAUUCGUAUUUCAUUGUCAGAGGUGAAAUUCUUGGAUUUUUGAAAGACGAACUACUGCGAAAGCAUUUACCAAGGAUGUUUUCAUUAA